AACGAACGCUGGCGGCAUGCCUUACACAUGCAAGUCGAACGAGACCUUCGGGUCUAGUGGCGCACGGGUGCGUAACGCGUGGGAAUCUGCCCUCUGGUACGGAAUAACUCAGGGAAACUUGAGCUAAUACCGUAUAAUGACUUCGGUCCAAAGAUUUAUCGCCUGAGGAUGAGCCCGCGUAGGAUUAGCUUGUUGGUGAGGUAAAAGCUCACCAAGGCGACGAUCCUUAGCUGGUCUGAGAGGAUGAUCAGCCACACUGGGACUGAGACACGGCCCAGACUCCUACGGGAGGCAGCAGUGGGGAAUAUUGGACAAUGGGCGAAAGCCUGAUCCAGCAAUGCCGCGUGAGUGAUGAAGGCCUUAGGGUUGUAAAGCUCUUUUACCCGGGAUGAUAAUGACAGUACCGGGAGAAUAAGCCCCGGCUAACUCCGUGCCAGCAGCCGCCGUAAGAC
rnacentral:rRNA from 1 species